UGAUUGGUGCUUGCAUCAUGAUUUACAUUUGAGUGAGUGGCGAACUGGUGAGUAACACGUGGGAAACCUGCCCAGAAGCGGGGGAUAACACCUGGAAACAGAUGCUAAUACCGCAUAACAACUUGGACCGCAUGGUCCGAGUUUGAAAGAUGGCUUCGGCUAUCACUUUUGGAUGGUCCCGCGGCGUAUUAGCUAGAUGGUGGGGUAACGGCUCACCAUGGCAAUGAUACGUAGCCGACCUGAGAGGGUAAUCGGCCACAUUGGGACUGAGACACGGCCCAAACUCCUACGGGAGGCAGCAGUAGGGAAUCUUCCACAAUGGACGAAAGUCUGAUGGAGCAACGCCGCGUGAGUGAAGAAGGGUUUCGGCUCGUAAAACUCUGUUGUUAAAGAAGAACAUAUCUGAGAGUAACUGUUCAGGUAUUGACGGUAUUUAACCAGAAAGCCACGGCUAACUACGUGCCAGCAGCCGCGGUAAUACGUAGGUGGCAAGCGUUGUCCGGAUUUAUUGGGCGUAAAGCGAGCGCAGGCGGUUUUUUAAGUCUGAUGUGAAAGCCUUCGGCUCAACCGAAGAAGUGCAUCGGAAACUGGGAAACUUGAGUGCAGAAGAGGACAGUGGAACUCCAUGUGUAGCGGUGAAAUGCGU
rnacentral:rRNA from 2 species